CAGAGUUGCAAAACUCCCUAAACCCACUGUGAAUCUACCUGUUUUUUAGCUACUUCGGCAGGCGGCCCCAGGGCGGGGCCAUUAGCCUUUUAGGUGCCUGCCAGAGUAUAACUCUUGUUGCAACUGUACUACUCUGAGUUUCAAAAACAAUUAAGUUA
rnacentral:misc_RNA from 1 species